UUCUGAGGCCUCUACAUAAGUCCCUACUCUGGACCAAAAUUUAACAGUCCCAUCUGAGGAAAGAUUGUGUUAAACAGAAGAUGUUUGAUAAGGAAAACUCCAUUCAUGAAAGACAAGAGCCCUAUGAGGGAACCUAUUGAUAAUCUCACUCCUGAGGAAAGGGAUGCAAGGGCAGUUUUCUGUGUGCAAUUGGCAGCAAGAAGUCCACCAAGAGAUUUGGAAGAAUUGUUCUCUACAGUAGAAAAGGUUCGAGAUGUGAGGAUGAUUUCUGAUAGAAAUUCAAGAUGGUCAAAGGAAUUGCCUAUGUGGAAUUUGUUGAUGUCAGUUCAGUGCCUCUACCAAAUAGAUUAACUGGCCAAUGAGUUUUAGGAGUGACAAUCACAGUCCAGACAUCACAGCCAGAAAAAGACAUAGCUGCUGCAAUGGUAAACAAUUUUAAAAAAGGACCUAUGAGGCUCUACUUGGGCUCAUUAAACUUUAACAUAACUGAAGAAAUGAUUUAGGAAGAUCUUUGAACCUAUUGGAAGGAUUGAAAUUAUUCAGCUGCUGAUGGAUAAUGAAACUAGUUGAUCUAAGGGAUAUGGAUUUGUUGCAUUUUCUGACUAAGAAUGUGCCCAAAAGGCUUUGGAACCGUUUGAUGGUUCGAGUUAGCUGAGAGACCACUGAAAGUUGGUCCUAUUUUUGGAAAAACUGAUGCUUCUAGUGCUAGUUCAUUUUUGGACAGUGAUGAACUACAAAGGACUGGAGUUGACUUGGGAACAACUAGCCAUCUUCAGGUACUGGCAAGACUUGCAGAGGGUGCCUGAUUGCAGAUUCAACCUGCAGCACAAGUUUUACAAAUGAGUGGCUCUUUGGCAUUUGGUGCUGUUAGAUUUGCAACACCACUUUCAAGACAGACCAAAGCCUCAGAUUUUGCUGCAGCUCUCUGUUCAACCACUUGCAACAGUGUUUUCCACUUUCUAACAUGUUUAAUCCUCUAGAACAGAAGAAGAAGCUGGAUGGAAUACAGAGGCUAAUGCCAUUGGAGAGUGUAAUAAACACAGAGGAGUCAUAUUUAUGUUUACAAAAAUUCAGCCUAGGGCAAUGUUUAUGUGAAGUGCCCAUCUAUUGCUGUGGCUAUUACUCCUGUCCAUGCAUUGCAUGGCAGGUUGUUUGUGAUAAAA
rnacentral:lncRNA from 1 species